GGUGGCGUAGCCAAGUGGUAAGGCGAGAGUCUGCAAAACUUUCAUUCGUCGGUUCGAAUCCGAUCGCUACCU
rnacentral:tRNA from 1 species